AGUGAACGCUGGCGGCGUGCUUAACACAUGCAAGUCGAACGAGAACGGAAUAUAGCUUGCUAUAUUUGUCAGCUAAGUGGCGCACGGGUGAGUAAUGUAUAGAUAACCUGCCCUUAAGAAAGGAAUAACAGUUGGAAGCGACUGCUAAUGCCCUAUGUGCCUUUAAUACAUAAGUAUGCAAGGGAAACGCUUUAGUGCUUAAGGAUGGGUCUGUAUGGUAUCAGCUUGUUGGUGAGGUAAUGGCUCACCAAGGCUAUGACGCCUAACUGGUUUGAGAGGAUGAUCAGUCACACUGGAACUGAGACACGGUCCAGACUCCUACGGGAGGCAGCAGUGGGGAAUAUUGCACAAUGGACGAAAGUCUGAUGCAGCAACGCCGCGUGGAGGAUGACACAUUUCGGUGCGUAAACUCCUUUUAUAUAGGAAGAUAAUGACGGUACUAUAUGAAUAAGCACCGGCUAACUCCGUGCCAGCAGCCGCGGUAA
rnacentral:rRNA from 1 species